CAUGUUGCGAGGAUUUUUGUUUUUGCCAAGAUUGUUACAAUAGUCCUUAUUACGUACUUACGGUUGAUGUCACACGCCAGCCAUCAUAUAAAUUCACAAAAAUACAAAAUCUGCUUGCAGCUUCCACCAGGGUUCAAUGCUGCAGUGUGGAUGAUGGAAAUUAGAUAACAGGUGUGAGAAAAACUUGUAAAAGGUUAAUGUCAGAUGCAAUGGUAAAUGCUGAUGUGAAGGAUGUUGUACUGAUAUUAAUGGCAAAAGAAAAGCCAUGAAAACGAUGCCGUGACAGCCGAAUUAUAUAUAAUCCUGAGAAUUUGAUUUCUUAGGCAUCAUUUGGACCUUCCUAGUAAGUUGUUUAUCCUGAACUUUUGAAAGUCAUAUAAAUUCAGCUGGUUGCAAUGUUUUUUCUUGGUGUCAUGAUACUAUUUUAUUUUGUCUUGCAUGAAAACGAGACUUCAACAACUGGAAGAUACAUUCCUUCUUUGGAUCAACAAUCAUAUUCUAAUGUUGAAUCCCUGCAUCAAUUCACACUUCCACACAGUGGAGUUAUAAAUGUUCGACAUCCCACUUUCAUGACAAACCUUCUUGUGGGACUGGCCAAGUGAUUCAAGAACUAGUGGGAAUCAUUGUUCUGACAGUUACAAUUGGCCUGCUUCACUGGUCACCCCAAUAUCUCUGUUUGGCUAUACAUGCCAAUGAAGACAACACACCUAUUAUACAAAGUGACUCUCAUAUCCAUCGUUCCAAUACAGACUGUGUGACCGCGACUAAUGCCAUUUUGACAUAAUCUUAUUUAGUUGAUGAUAUUGGCAUGAUAUUUGUUAGUCAGACUUUAUGUAUGAAUCAUUGACUAGUUUGGUUUCUUGCUUAGUCGGCUUGGAUACCACUUUCAUUUUCAUGGAAUCAAAUGUCGAUAUGUCUUCUUGUUCUUUAAA